GUAGGUGGCAAGCGUUGUCCGGAAUUAUUGGGCGUAAAGCGCGCGCAGGCGGUCCUUUAAGUCUGAUGUGAAAGCCCACGGGCUCAACCGUGGAGGGUCAUUGGAAACUGGAGAACUUGAGUACAGAAGAGGAAAGCGGAAUUCCACGUGUAGCGGUGAAAUGCGUAGAGAUGUGGAGGAACACCAGUGGCGAAGGCGGCUUUCUGGUCUGUAACUGACGCUGAGGCGCGAAAGCGUGGGGAGCAAACAGGAUUAGAUACCCUGGUAGUCCACGCCGUAAACGAUGAGUGCUAAGUGUUAGGGGGUUUCCGCCCCUUAGUGCUGCAGCUAACGCAUUAAGCACUCCGCCUGGGGAGUACGGCCGCAAGGCUG
rnacentral:rRNA from 1 species